AUGGGGAAACCAAUGGAUGACAGUAUCAGAAAGGUGUGCAGGGUACUUCCUGGGCCAUUGCCAGGUCAUUUGCUGCUGGAGAGUCAUCUUUUACCACUAGCAAAAGAAACGGAAUUCACAUCAGAGAAAACCCCCUCUCAGAUUCCAGCCCCAGAGAACCACAGAUUAUCGGUUACACAGCUAAGUUUGACCGGCGCAGAAAUGCCAUAUAAAUGAAGACAUAAAGUGUACUUUUUUUUGGUGUAUGGCUUUGUUUGCAUCCCUGUACUCUUGGGACCUGUUCCUGCAGGUCAGUAAUUUGUACCUCUUCAGCAGAGGUCUGAGCCUGGAGCCCUGGACAGGCCCUCGUCCCUAGCCACCUUGUCUCUGCCUCUGUUUUGCCUGUUAUUUCCAGGCUUCUGUUGGUUGCUUUUGUUUUAUUUGCAUCUUUACGCCUUUUUCUUUACCUUUCCACUUCAGGCUGGUUUUCUAACUUACAGAAUGAGAAUGAGCAUUCCAGAUAAGAGCAACAGUUGU